AGAUAGCGUUAGCGAUUGAAAAGGCAUCCUUUUUAUGCUGAACACGUUUCAGUAACUUUAGGUUAGUAGAAUUGCAGUUAAUAGAAAUUACAGAUGCUAAAAUAAAUUCGGCAUAAAAAGAUAUAGUGUAAAGCGCGACCCUUG
rnacentral:sRNA from 1 species